rnacentral:rRNA from 1 species
GACGAACGCUGGCGGCGUGCUUAACACAUGCAAGUCGAACGGAAAGGCCCUGCUUUUGUGGGGUGCUCGAGUGGCGAGCGGGUGAGUAACACGUGAGUAACCUGCCCUUGACUUUGGGAUAACUUCAGGAAACUGGGGCUAAUACCGGAUAGGAGCUCCUGCUGCAUGGUGGGGGUUGGAAAGUUUCGGCGGUUGGGGAUGGACUCGCGGCUUAUCAGCUUGUUGGUGGGUAGUGGCUUACCAAGGCUUUGACGGGUAGCCGGCCUGAGAGGGUGACCGGCCACAUUGGGACUGAGAUACGGCCCAGACUCCUACGGGAGGCAGCAGUGGGGAAUAUUGCACAAUGGGCGGAAGCCUGAUGCAGCAACGCCGCGUGCGGGAUGACGGCCUUCGGGUUGUAAACCGCUUUCGCCUGUGACGAAGCGUGAGUGACGGUAAUGGGGAAAGAAGCACCGGCUAACUACGG